rnacentral:ncRNA from 1 species
UAUGCUUUGCCGCCGGGUAAAGCUGUAUGAGCGCUCGAAUUUCAUACCAUUAGGCCUUUGAAGGUAUGAACUUUUUGGGCGCUUUCUU